CAUCGCCUCCAUUUCUUCCGCUUCGUCUUCUUCUUCCUCUUCAACCGUUAAACCUCCAAAACCCUAGAAAUGAUCCUCACCAAGCUCUCCCGCCAAAAGCCACCUCCCCUCUUCCUCUCCUCCACGCGCCGCCUCCUCUCCUCCGCCGCCGCCUCCUCCUCCUCGAGGCUCCGCUCUCUCUACUCCUUCGAGCCACCGCCGUCGCUCCAUCCCCAGAGCCCCGGCCCCGGCCCCGGCCCCAGACCUCCGUCGAAGAAGAAAACCAAACCGCCGUACCGUCCCCCGUCGUCGCUCGACCGGACCAAGAUCAAAGCCGUGAAGUCGGACCUGCCGUUCGAUUUCAGGUUCAGCUACACGGAGAGCAGCCCCAACGUGCGGCCGAUCGGGCUGAGGGAGCCCAAGUACUCCCCGUUCGGGCCGGGCCGGGUCAACCGGGAGUGGACCGGGGUCUGCGCCCCGGCGGCGGACCGGAGGGCGAGGUCGGUGGAGGAGGGAGCCGAGGACCCGAAGCUGGAGGAGAAGAGGCAGGCGAUGAGGGAGAGUAUCCAGGGGGAGCCGCUCACCGGGGCCGAGAGGAAGAUUCUGGUGGAGAGGUGUCAGAGGCACAGGACCAAAAGGCAUAUUAAUUUAGGGAGAGAUGGCUUAACUCACAACAUGUUGAAUGAUAUCCAUAAUCACUGGAGGCGUGCUGAGGCAGUCAGGAUUAAAUGUAUGGGUGUCCCAACGGUUGAUAUGAAAAAUGUUUGCUUCCAGCUGGAGGAUAAAACCUUUGGAAAGAUAAUUCAUAGACACGGUGGUCAGCUUGUUUUGUACAGAGGUAGAAACUAUAGUUCCAAGAAAAGGCCUGCAGUACCAUUAAUGUUGUGGAAACCCCAUGAACCUAUAUAUCCCAGGUUGAUCAAAACCACGAUUGAGGGCCUGAGCAUCGAAGAAACCAAGGAAAUGAGGAAAAAAGGACUAGCUGUGCCUGCGCUAACAAAGCUUGCCAAAAAUGGCUACUAUGGCAGUCUAGUACCAAUGGUCAGGGAUGCAUUUCUCACCAAUGAGCUCAUUCGGAUAGACUGCCGCGGACUUGAGAAAAGCGAUUAUAAGAAAAUAGGAUGCAAACUUAGGGACCUAGUUCCUUGCAUCCUUGUGACAUUUGAGAAGGAACAGAUUGUUGUGUGGAGAGGGCAGGACUAUAAGCCUCUGGAGGAUGUACAGUUCCCUAUGGAAUGGGAUGAAAAUCCAAACGGCAAAUCACUUGAUGGCAUUGAGGGUGUUCGUAUCUCGGAUAGCAGCAGUAAUGAGCAGUGGUUGAGCUCGAGUGACGAUGACGAGUCGUCAAAUUCCUGAGUUUACUCAGCAGAGCCAUCUAUGCAUUUGCUGUGUCAGAUUGAGUUUGUAUCAGGAAAGUGUAUUCAGAAGGCGAAGUCUUGCUUCUGGGUUGCUUGAGUUUGUAUCAGGAAAGUGUAUUCAGAAGGCAAAGUCUUGCUUCUGGGUUGCUUGCAAGGACUGAAAGAGACGCGUCCCAGGAAACUUCCCGGAUAUUUCUCAAGUGAUUACUGAUAUGCUCAAUCUCGGUUCGAAAGGGAAAAACGAGAACCGGAAAGGAUGGAUUGUACUGUAGCAAAAGGCUUCUCACAAUUCAAGAGCAUAGGCAUGGGUGGGUUCCGGGCUCUGGUCCUAAGGUUGGGCUUUUCUGUGCCCAUGCAUCUCGACCGUCAGUUUCAGCAGACAGCGUCAGCAACUGGGGGACGCAGUGGUGAAUUGUUGCUGUAACGCAAUUGGAUUACGAAGCGUGCGAAUUGCCUCUCCAAAUCCGUUCCUUCAUGUGGUGGAAAACGAACGGAGAGAACAGUACAAUGAAAUUGACGGAGAAGAAUCGAGAAGUGGCCCAAGUCCUGUCGGGCUAAUUUCUUCAUCCGUCGUCCGCCUACGAAAAGAAGCGAAAAGGUGACGUGGUGGAGCCCCGCAUGUCGUGCCGACCGUCUUCCGAGACGCUACACACGGAGGAAAAUUGACGGACAAGAAUCGAGGGAAGGAGGAGGAAGUGGAGAGAGAGAGAGGGAGGCCAGCGUCAUCUACAGUAAUGCCGCCACGUUUCUCCAUCAGGGAGGAGGGCUUUUGCAAAAAAGGCAGAGCACGCUCUUGUGGCCUUGGAUCGAUUCCCACGAGAAAGCGUGUGGUGCGACGAUCUUUUUCAGUGACGUUGCCGGGUGCUAUUAAACUAUCGUUUUCUGAAAUUAUUACUCUAUUUUGAUUCCGGCUAUAAGAGAAAUCACGUGUCGGCUUAUGCCGACCGCAAUGGUGUCGGGUCCACGCUUGGGCUUGGAGUAUUUCCCAAUAAGCAGUCUGCAUAAGAAGUUUUCAUCA